rnacentral:misc_RNA from 1 species
GGCUUGAGGAAAAUGGAGCACAUAUUCAGACUGCAAUUGGUGAACAUCGCCGUCUAUGGAUUAUUCCUCGUAUUGCAGGGAUUGUAGUAUCCCGCCUUACUGUCAGCGCGAUAUUUAGUUUUUUUGCAUCCCCGUAUGCAGUUGAUGACUGGCUUGAUGAAUUAAAUUUGCAUCGCCUUAACGAUACCCUGACUCAGGCUGCGCAACCUGCCUUGGCGCUUAUCAGUGAGCUUGACGGAUUACGCUAUUUUAACCUUGGAACGGAAAAUCGCCCUCAUCUGGAGCAGUCUGUACGUAAAGAGGAUGAAAAAGCCCUGAUUACCGCCCUGAGGGAAUUUGAACAAAUAGCAGAAGGUACGCCGGUUCAAAUGUUACCCCGACAAUUGAAUGAAGAGUGCAUAGCAGGACGAGCAGCUAUAGCUGAGGGGGAGAUUGCCCUGUUACAUGG